CGAGUCGCCAGAGCUCCCCCGGCCCCGCUCGGCCCGUGCGGCUGCCCCCAGCUCCAGCCCCUCCCCUGGAGCCUGUGCUGUGGCCGCAGGCAGCCCCCGAGCCCUGUCGUGAGGGCAGCAAGCUGGCCCUCAGUGCAUCUCCAGAAGCCUCUGCAGAAGGAGGGGCUCUGGCCAGGGGCGAUCUGCGGUAAUGAGUCGAUGCUUCUCUUUCGCAGAGGCUGCGCUGAGGGCAUGGUUGUCUCUUCCUCCCUUGGGGAUGCCGUUGACUGCAGCAGCCUCAGGCUUGCGUGGGCUGUCUCUGCCUGGCCUCCCUCUCCUCGCGGCGCGGGAGCGCAGAGGGACAGGCGGAGCGCUUACUGGCUGUGGGCAGGAGCUGCUGAAGCUGGAGAGGCCACAGAAUGGUAAAGCUGCUGAAGAAUAAAAUAAAGAGGAUCCAGCCAGCAGCUGCAGACAGGAGAUAGCCUGCCUCUCCAGCCUGCAGUGAAGACCAUGGUGACACAGGCUGUCCCCCUGCAGCCCACGGAGGUCCAUGGUGGAGCAGAUAUGCACCCUGCAGCCGAUGGAGGACCCCUCACCAGAGCAGGCGGAUGCACCCGAAGGAGGCUGUGAUGCUGUGGAGAGGAGCCCACACUGGAGCAGGUUUUCUGGCAGGACCUGCGGCCCCAUGGGAGUGGCACCACACUGGAACAGAAGAGUAUGAAGGAGGAAGGAGCAGCAGAGACAACUUGUGAUGAACUGACUGCAACCCUGCUGCUCCCUCUACCCCUGUGCUGCUCAGCAGGAGGGGGUAGAAAAGUCAGGAGUGAAGAUGAGCCCAGGAAAAAAAGAGAGGGGUGGGGGGAAGGUGUUUUUCAGAUUUGUUUGCAUUUCUCAUUAUCAUACUCUGAUUUUGACUGACAAUAAAUUAAUUCCCCCAAGUCGAGUCUGUUUUGCCUGUGACAGUAAUUGGUGAGUGAUCUCUUUGUCCUUAUCUUGACCCACAAGCUUUUUUGUUGUAUUUUCUACCCUCCUGUCUUGUUGAGGAGGGGGGAAUGAUAGAGUGGCUUGGUGGACACUCAUCAGCCAGCCAAGGUCAACCCACCACGGUUUCCUUCUAUCAGGCUCCCUGUCCCUAUUUUUAAAAUCUUGCCUAUGUUUCUUUUAUGUUGUCACUUUUGAAACUUUCUACCUCUCCAUCCCUAUUUAAAUACUGGCAUGUUUCUUAAACCCAGUUGCUUUUUAAAUUUUCUUGCUACUUUUCCCUCUCUUUGUCUCCCUGACCUUAUUUUAAUUUCUCGCCUGUGUUUCUUGUACCCUGUUGCUUUUCAGAUUUCGUUCUUACGUCUCCCUCUAUGCAGCUCCAUGUACCUACUUUUUGAUUCUUGUACCCUGUUGCUUUCAAAAUUUUCUUUCUAUGUUUCCUUCUAUCCAUCUCCCUGUCUCUAGUUCUUAACUCUUCCCUCUCUGUCCUGUACCCUGUCACUUCUUAGAUUUUCUUUCUACGUCUCCCUCUUUUUAUCUCCCUGUGCCUAUUUGUUAGUUCUUGCCUAUGUUUCUUUUAUGCUGUUGCUUUUUAAAAUUUUUCUCUCUACCUGGCUCCCUGUUUCUGUUUUCUAGUUCUUGCUGUUUCUUCUCCCGUAUCACUUGAGAAUGUUUCCCUGUCCCUUGUCCUGUCUUUAUCUUCUUGUCCUGCUAGUCCCUUCCCCUUCUUUCCCCUGCUUCCUAUUAUUUAUUCCUCCAUCUCCAUCCCUGUUUUUCUCCUCAGUCUCUCUGCUCUUUUCUCUCUACACCGUUUUCCUGCUUCUUGUCCCUCUCUGGUUCCCAGCAUCCAAUUUCCUGGCUCCCUGUCUUGCACAUCUGUGUCCCUCUGUCCUUCCUCCUGCUUUUCUCUUCCCUUUUAUCCCCCCAUCCUGCUGCCUUUGGGCACUGAGCCUUGUAGCCAACUCAUUGCCAGGAUUUCUUAUAUGCAUUAAUAAAUAAAUUUUUCCUGCCUCCUCUGUGUCCCUGGAUGUGGGCACCCUUUACAUACUGUGAAGUCUGCUAUAAGGUCUCCU